rnacentral:lncRNA from 1 species
AGAUGGAGGAAGAGAGAGACACGAAAAAGGAAAAAGAGAAAGAAGAAGAUGAAGAGUUGAAGAACACAGGGAACAAAGAAAAGAAGAAGGACAAGGAUAAACAAGAAAAGAUGAAGAAGAGCAAAGAUAGUGGGGGCUCAGAAAACGAUGGAGAGAUGGAUCAAAAAGAGAAAAAGAAGAAACACAAAAAAGAGAAGAAGAGCAAAGAUAGUGGGGGCUCAGAAAAUGAUGGAGAGAGGGAUCAAAAAGAGAAAAAGAAGGACAAGAAGACCAAAGGUAAAGGUUUAGAUGAAGAAGAAGAGACAGAGUGCAAAGAUGAAAAAUCGAGCGCCAAGGAUGACUCGAACCACACAGAGGAAGAGCUAGACAAAAAUGAAGAGAAGAAUAUAAAGAAGAAAAAGCACAAGCUAAAAGGAGAAAACGAAGAUGAAGAAGAGAAAAGAAAGGUUAAAGAUAAGAAGAAGGAGCAGAAAGAAGAGGAGAAGAAGGGUAAAAAUAAAGGAGAGGAUGAUGGGGAAAAUGAAGAUGAAGACAAUGAAGAAAAAGAAGGUAAAAAGAAGAAGAAAAAGGAUAAGGGAAAAUGUGAUGACUACGAAAAAGAGGGGAAGAAGAAGAAGGAUAAGAUGAAAGGCAAGGAUAAAAAGAAGAAGAAAGACGUGGAUAAUGAUGAAGAAGAGAAGACGGACCAGGAGGAGAGGAAGGAGCAACACAAAAAUGUAGAGGAUGUGGAGAAGAUGAAGGCCGAAGUUAGUUCCAGAGAGAUUGAAAUAGAAGAUGUCAAAGAGUCAGAGGAGGAGAAGCAGAAAGAUGUGGUCAAGGAAAGUAAAGAGAAGAAGGAUAAAGGGGAGAAGAAGCGAAAGGUUGAUAAGAAAGACAAGUGCAACG